UACGUAGGGUGCAAGCGUUAAUCGGAAUUACUGGGCGUAAAGCGUGCGCAGGCGGUGAUGUAAGACAGUUGUGAAAUCCCCGGGCUCAACCUGGGAACUGCAUCUGUGACUGCAUCGCUGGAGUGCGGCAGAGGGGGGAUGGAAUUCCGCGUGUAGCAGUGAAAUGCGUAGAUAUGCGGAGGAACACCGAUGGCGAAGGCAAUCCCCUGGGCCUGCACUGACGCUCAUGCACGAAAGCGUGGGGAGCAAACAG
rnacentral:rRNA from 1 species